rnacentral:hammerhead_ribozyme from 1 species
GUACUGUUGAAGAGUCCGACCAUAGGACGAAAUGGCCGUCCAGUGC